rnacentral:rRNA from 1 species
GACAGAGGCCACGAGCGUUAGGCGGAAUCACUGGGCUUAAAGCGUGUGUAGGCGGAGGCGUAAGUGUCUUGUGAAAUCCCACGGCUCAACCGUGGAACUGCUGGGCAUACUGCGUCUCUUGAGCCGGCCAGGGGUCACCGGAACAAGCGGUGGAGCGGUGAAAUGCGUAGAUAUCGCUUGGAACGCCAACGGUGAAAACAGGUGACUGGGGCCGCGCUGACGCUGAGACACGAAAGCCAGGGGAGCGAACGGGAUUAGAAACCCCCGUAGUCC